rnacentral:rRNA from 1 species
CUAGCAUAUCAAUAAGCGGAGGAAAAGAAACCAACAGGGAUUGCCCUAGUAACGGCGAGUGAAGCGGCAACAGCUCAAAUUUGAAAUCUGGCUCUUUCAGAGUCCGAGUUGUAAUUUGCAGAGGGCGCUUUGGCUUUGGCAGCGGUCCAAGUUCCUUGGAACAGGACGUCACAGAGGGUGAGAAUCCCGUACGUGGUCGCUAGCUAUUGCCGUGUAAAGCCCCUUCGACGAGUCGAGUUGUUUGGGAAUGCAGCUCUAAAUGGGAGGUAAAUUUCUUCUAAAGCUAAAUACUGGCCAGAGACCGAUAGCGCACAAGUAGAGUGAUCGAAAGAUGAAAAGCACUUUGGAAAGAGAGUCAAACAGCACGUGAAAUUGUUGAAAGGGAAGCGCUUGCAGCCAGACUUGCUUGCAGUUGCUCAUCCGGGCUCUUGCCCGGUGCACUCUUCUGCAGGCAGGCCAGCAUCAGUUUGGGCGGUGGGAUAAAGGUCUCUGUCACGUACCUCUCUUCGGGGAGGCCUUAUAGGGGAGACGACAUACCACCAGCCUGGACUGAGGUCCGCGCAUUCGCUAGGAUGCUGGCGUAAUGGCUGUAAGCGGCCCGUCUUGAAACACGGACCAAGGAGUCUAACAUCUAUGCGAGUGUUUGGGUGUCAAGCCCGAACGCGUAAUGAAAGUGAACGGAGGUGGGAACCCGCAAGGGUGCACCAUCGACCGAUCCUGAUGUCUUCGGAAGGAUUUGAGUAAGAGCAUGGCUGUUGGGACCCGAAAGAUGGUGAACUAUGCUUGAAUAGGGUGAAGCCAGAGGAAACUCUGGUGGAGGCUCGCAGCGGUUCUGACGUGCAAAUCGAUCGUCAAAUUUGGGCAUAGGGGCGAAAGACUAAUCGAACUAUCUAGUAGCUGGUUCCUGCCGA